UUUUGGUAUCAGGGUGAUGGUGGCCUCAUAGAAUGAGUUUGGGAGUAUCCCUUCCUCUGCAAUUUUUUGGAAUAGUUUCAGAAGGAGAGGUGUUAGCUCUUCUCUAAAUGUUUGAUAGAAUUUGCUGUGAAGCCAUCUGGUCCUGAACUUAUGUUUGUUGGAAGUUUUUUAAUCACCAUUUCAAUUUCAGUUCUUGUGAUUGGUCCAUUCACCUUUUCUAUUUCAUCUUGGUUUAGUCUUGGAAGAUGGUACUUUUCUAAGAAUUUGUCCAUGUCUUCUAGGUUUUCCAUUUUAUUGGUGUAUAGUAGCAUAUAGUAGCCUCUUAUGAUCUUUUUUCUUUCUGUGAUGUCUGUUGUUACUUCUCCUUUUUCCUUUCUAAUGUUAUUGAUUUGAGUCCUCUCUCUUUUUUGCUUGAUAAGUCUGGCUAGGGGUUUAUCAAUUUUGUUGAUCUUUUCAAAGAACCAGCUUUUCGUUUCAUUGAUCUUUUCUAUGGUUUUCUUCAUUUCUAUUUCAUUGAUUUCUGCUCUGAUCUUUAUGAUUUCUUUCCUUCUGCUAACUUUAGGUCUUGUCUCUUCUUCUCUCUCGAGCUGCUUUAGAUGUAAAAUUAGCUUGUUUACUUGAGCUUUUUCUUGUUUCCUGAGGUAGGCUUGUAUUGCUAUAAACUUUCCUCUUAGAAUGGCUUUUGCCACAUCCCAUAGGUUUUGGAGUGUCAUAUCUUCGUUGUCAUUUACUACUAGGUAUUUUUUAAUUUCCUCUUUGAUUUCUUCAGUGAUCCAUUGGUUGUUCAGUAGCAUGUUGUUGAGUCUCCACAUGUUUUUGUUUUUUUUGCAGUUUUUUCUUGUUGAUUUCCAGUCGUAUAGUGUCGUGGUUGAAAAAGUGCUUGAUAUGAUUUCCAUUUUCUUAAAAGUUACCAAGGUUGGAUUUGUAGCCUAGGAUAUGAUCAAUCUUAGAGAAUGUUCCAUGUGUACUUGAGAAGAAUGUGUAUUCUGUUGCUUUUGGAUGGAAUAUUUUUAAAAUUGUUAUAACAUCUUCUUGUAUUCAUCCUUUGAUCAUUGUCUAAUGCCCUUCUUGGUCCCUUAAAAUAUUCUUCAUUUUAAAAUUAUUUUGUCUCAUAUGAGUAUUGCUACUCCAGCUUUCUUUUGAUUCCCAUUUGCAUGAAAUAUUUUCUUCCAUCUUCUCACUUUCAAUUUGUAUGUAUUCCUAGAAGUGAAGUGGGUCUCUUAAAGACAGCAUAUAUAUGGGUCUUGUUUUUUGUAUCCAUUUAGCCAGUCUAUGUCUUUUGGUUGUGGCAUUUAGUCCAUUAAGAUUUAAGGUACUUAUUUCUAUGUAUGUUCUUAACUGUCAUUUUAUUAAUUGCUUUGGAUUU
rnacentral:lncRNA from 1 species